rnacentral:tRNA from 1 species
GCCCAGGUGGUGAAAUUGGUAGACACGCAGGUUUCAGGUACCUGUGCCGCGAGGCAUAGGGGUUCAAGUCCCCUCUUGGGCACCA